CCUACGGGGGGCAGCAGUGGGGAAUAUCGGACAAUGGGGGCAACCCUGAUCCAGCCAUGCCGCGUGUGUGAAGAAGGCCCUCGGGUUGUAAAGCACUUUCAGUGAGGAAGAACGCCUGGUGGUUAAUACCCAUCAGGAAAGACAUCACUCACAGAAGAAGCACCGGCUAACUCCGUGCCAGCAGCCGCGGUAAUACGGAGGGUGCGAGCGUUAAUCGGAAUUACUGGGCGUAAAGCGCGCGUAGGUGGCUUGAUAAGCCGGUUGUGAAAGCCCCGGGCUCAACCUGGGAACGGCAUCCGGAACUGUCAAGCUAGAGUGCAGGAGAGGAAGGUAGAAUUCCCGGUGUAGCGGUGAAAUGCGUAGAGAUCGGGAGGAAUACCAGUGGCGAAGGCGGCCUUCUGGACUGACACUGACACUGAGGUGCGAAAGCGUGGGUAGCAAACAGGAUUAGAUACCCUGGUAGUC
rnacentral:rRNA from 1 species